rnacentral:rRNA from 1 species
GGUGAACGCUGGCGGCGUGCCUAAGACAUGCAAGUCGAGCGGGCCGCGGGGUUUUACUCCGUGGUCAGCGGCGGACGGGUGAGUAACGCGUGGGUGACCUACCCGGAAGAGGGGGACAACCCGGGGAAACUCGGGCUAAUCCCCCAUGUGGACCCGCCCCUUGGGGUGUGUCCAAAGGGCUUUGCCCGCUUCCGGAUGGGCCCGCGUCCCAUCAGCUAGUUGGUGGGGUAAUGGUCCACCAAGGCGACGCCGGGUAGCCGGCCUGAGAGGGUGGCAGGCCAAAGGGGCACUGAGACACGGGCGCCACUCCUGCGGGAGGCAGCAGGUAGUAAGCUCCCGCAAUGGGCGCAAGCCUGACGGAGCGACGCCGCUUGGAGGAAGAAGCCCUUCGGGGUGUAAACUACUGAACCCUGGACGAAACCCCCGACGAGGGGACGGACGGUACCGGGGUAAUAGCGCCGGCCAACUCCGUG